rnacentral:rRNA from 1 species
GUCAGGGACUGGUCAGAACUGCCUCUUGACUUGCUCUCUUCUAUAUUCACCAAGCUCGACACUGUAGACGUUCUCAUGGGUGCGGGCCUUGUGUGUCACUCACGGCUAGAGGCUGCAAAAAUGCCUGAUCUGUGGUGGCGUGUGGACUUUGAGCACCGUGUCCUUGUAAGAACAGGGAGGAGAAAUCCAGAUGUAUUGUGUGCAAUGGCAAAGUUGGAUGUGGACCGCUGUCGGUGUCAAAACGGGCAGAUCUCGGGUAGGGGGCCCAAGCUGUGCGUCUGA